rnacentral:lncRNA from 1 species
GCAGACAUUCCUAACACCACCACGGGAUGACUUAGUGGAGUGCCAAAAGAGCAAAGAGCAGUCAGUGAGUGGAAAGCAGGAUAGCCCACCCUGGUGAAGCCUGAGUCUCCAGCCCAGAUUCCUCUCAUAUCUCACUGCUUGCUGAUGGGGAAAAGAAGAGACAGACCCACGAGACUAGACACCUUUGUGGAUGAGUUCUAGCCAAAUGAUCAGAGAUGUAAUGUGACCAGGUCUCUCCAGCUUCCACCACAGAGUGUCUUUUACUAUAUAUAUGAGUCUAACCUAACAUUUGAGCCAAAUAAACCUUCUCUCCCA